rnacentral:tRNA from 3 species
GCUGGUGUAGCUCAGCAGGUAGAGCAGCUGAUUUGUAAUCAGCAGGUCGGGGGUUCGAAGCCGUCCACCAGCUCCA